rnacentral:ncRNA from 19 species
AUCGUUCAUCUUCUCUUUUUGAAGAAGACGGAAGUAGGGAUAUAUUCCUGAAGGAACGCGCC